rnacentral:misc_RNA from 1 species
UUUCCGUAGGUGAACCUGCGGAAGGAUCAUUAACGAGUUAGGGUCUUUUAGGCCCGACCUCCCAACCCUAUGUUUAUUGAACCUCUGUUGCUUCGGCGGACCCGUCUCACAGCCGCCGGAGGACCGCUGCGAGGCGUCCUCUGGCCAGCGUCCGCCGAUGGCCAACCCACUAAACUCUGAAUGAAUCGUGUCAUAUGUCUAAGUCUAUGAUUAAAUUAAAGCAAAACUUUCAACAACGGAUCUCUUGGUUCUG